AUCCAAAGAUGAAGGAGGAUGUUACUGGAAAGACUCUAAACUGACAUCAAGAGGAUUCGUAUUUCAUACCUAAUUGUUACUUGGAUGCUUUAGGAAGACUGCUCUUGGGCCUCCUGCUCCUCUCGUCUGCACAUGAUCAUCCAGGGCAACACCUGAAGGAAUCGAGCAACGCCUGCACUGUGGUGUCUUCCAUUUUCUCCCUACGUAUCAGAAACUUGAUCGUCUGCCAGUAAAGCUGACUGAGGAAGACACACACCUGCUCCAUCUCGUAUGACCGAGCUGAGUUUGGAACUGAAGAGGACGUCUACGUGAUUCAAGAUGAAUUCCACAACUACCGACUGGAUUCUCACCUCCAUGAAGGCAGCUGUUCCGCUGAAGCAGGCAGACUCUAUCUGCUUUGAUCUGAAGAAAAGGCAGAUUAAAUAAAAUGCAAACAGCUAGAAGAAUGUGGAAAGAUGAGCUCACUUUGGAUUGGAUUCCUACUGAAGUAAGCAAGAGGAGCGCGUGGGUCUAGAAGGAAAAGCGGCGUGUGUGGCAGGUCCAGACUGAGGUUUGUGGGAAAGGACUUCGAUUAUCCUAUUGUAAGGUGGAGAACAUUUUACGUACACGCUGCCUCCCCUGGAUUUAGAAAACCAGCAAAUCCUGUCAGAAAACACCAAGCUCAGCAACACUGAGGACAAGCACCAGGAGGAAGGCAAAGGGACUAGCUCUCUUCAUUCCAGCCCCAGCACAAGAUGGUAAUGAAAAUGCUGAUGUAUCCUCCUCCGUUCUGUUGCUUAGCAGCAGCAUCUUGUGUCUCUGCCUCACUGCGCACACCCUUCGUGGUAAGGGAGCGGAGGGUGGGGGGUUUCUACACCCAAGCAGGCUCAGACUUCGCAGAUGAACAAGGCUCACGCGGCUCUUUCUGCUUGGAAGCAAAAUGGACAGACUCCCAGCAACCGGCACCACCUUGUCAAGCAUCGGUUACCUGCCUGCGUGGAAACUCUCAUGGAAGAUUAGCAGAACAAUAAAGUGUUUUGUUUGUUUUCUUUUCCUUUCCAAAGCAAACCACAGCUUCCCUCCUUAACCAUUUUUAGGUGAGACACCAGCUCUGCCUCAGCAGCAGCAGGGGAAUGCUUGCAGCAUCACUGUCCACCUACAUCUACAAACCAUUGUGCAUCCAUCCACCUAUCUUUCAUGCCCCCUCACUGGCCUAAGACUAAGACAGACCCACAAAAGCAAGAGCAUCUUGCUUAAGCUAAACAAGUCAGGCCAGGUUGAAAGCCCCUGUGAAGAUAAGAGUCAUUUCAGCAAAAUCAUGGACUGCACCAGA